GCGGUAGCCAAUGAUAGCAAAGCUUUUGCAAGCUAAACCAAUCAGAGCUCGUAAAAAUCUGAUAAUAACAAACAAUGGUGUGUGGUUCACGGCUUUACGCAUUCCGUGGCAAAUUUGAAUAUUUCUGCUCGAGGCCACAGUGGCUUCGAAGUUGAGAGAGCACACAAAUGACACAGUUAAAGUUACUGCAACCAAACUUCGCUUUUAUGAAACUUAUUCGAAAUAAAAUCGGUACACCAUGACGAGGGAAAGGUCAGUAUUAAAUUUAGCUGUUUUUAAAACGUUUUUGAGUUGUUCUUGUUAAGUUUUAGUUGCUUUUCGAACCUCGUGUGUAUAGUAUUCAUUGUAUUAAUAUGUAUUGAAUUCAAGCGCUUCGUUUCGGAGCUUAGUCGCUUUGUUUCUUUGCCGUUUCUCUCUCAUUUUCUAGCAGUAAUGUUCAGAAAUACCCCAGAUUCGAUUUACUUAAACUCAUAUUUAGUUUAUCUGCAAUUUCAGGGCGAAAAUUUGACGAGAAAGUGAACUAAUUUAUGUCGCCGAUAUGGUCGAAAAGGCGAAGUACUUGGUACGCAUAAUGUCCACUAAAGGCGUUUCCUUCUUAUUUUUUUUAAUUAAGCUUCCUUUAUACAUCUAGAACGUCUUCUGGUAAAGCCUUGUAGCUUAAUAUGAACAUUCUUUGUCAAAUUAGUUGAAAUUUUGUCCGCACAGAGCGAAAUACCGACUCAUUUUAGGCAUGUUCAAUUCGACAUGCAUUUCAAACAUAUUAGCUUCUACAAACUUGUCGUUUAUGUACAAAUUGUACUCAGAGAGGGAAAGCUAAGCUUUUUGAGUUUUUUGACGUUGUCUUAGUUGAAUUUAUUCGAAAUCUUUUGAAGAAGCUCAGAGAUAAAAAUGUCCUCGUGGUUCAUGUCCUAAUUUUAUGCAUACAUGCACGCAUUCUUUAAAAUUAAAAUAAAUUGGACAACCACACCCUGUGUAAACGACAUUAAAUAUCUCUUCACUGUUAAAACUAAAAUUAAUUAUCCAACUUUUUAGAUUGCCUCAAGUUCGAUUAUCUUGAUGCCAAACAGUACAGAAAGACCUCUGCGCAGAUUUGAAGAGACGUUUGCCCAGCAGUCGAAGCAAAACGAGAAGGCAAAGGCCGAUUGAAAACAACCAUCAGCUAACCCACAGCAUUCAUCGUCGCAUUUCGUUUGUACCAUGUUUGGAAGAGACAGUAAAACUUCAUACCGGAAUGCCGGUGACGGAAUGCUCGAAAGUAGAUACACCGUAUCUCAGUCAGCCUAUUGUGAACGGGUGCCAUCCAGGGACCCUAGCCAAUGCUCUGCACCAUCGUUUCCAAGACUGGCAUGAGGGAUUGCCUACCUAUACCAGCCUAUGAAAUAGGCGUGAAAGAUGCCGUACAUUACAGAAGGUAUAUCUCUUGAUUCUCGUUGGUCCUGUUCGAAAGUACGUGGGGGCCACCCUGAGGACGCCCAAAUGCACAAAACAAAUUUCAAUUAAUGUGGCAUUUUUCCUUAAUUUCGCAAUUUAUUCAAAUUUUUCACAUUUCUUGGUAUUUGUGAUAAGCCCUUAACGAAAUCGAAAUGUUUGAAAUUCGGAAGGUUCUAUCUGGGAGUUUGUUUAUUUGAAAGAUAUUUGAAAUGAAAUUUUGAAAUUUACAUCACUUUGCUAUUUGGUUUGAGCGCUAGGUAAAAUCAUGCCAGAUGAGUGGCCGGCCAUUCGUCGAGGUUCGGUGGUACUUCGGCUCGGACUUUCCCGACCUACAGUCGAGUUGCUCUGAUCGAUUGUCGUGAUCAACUAGCACAGGUGCAAGGUCUGGCCAACCUUACAUCAGUGCUUUUUGUUCGUGGCAUGAGAUUGGGACAGCUCGCUUGUAGGCCUGGAAAGAUCAAGCCGAAGUACCAUCAAACUUUAAUUUGUGACCGGCUGUUUGUCUGUAUGGCUUUACCCAGCGUUUUCCCGUUAUCAUUUUGAUGCAGACUUUGGAAUUUUGGCUUG